rnacentral:rRNA from 1 species
UACGUAGGGGGCGAGCGUUGUCCGGAUUUAUUGGGCGUAAAGAGCUCGUAGGCGGUUUGUUGCGUCGGCUGUGAAAUCCCGAGGCUCAACCUCGGGUCUGCAGUCGAUACGAGCAAACUAGAGUGUUGCAGGGGAGACUGGAAUUCCUGGUGUAGCGGUGAAAUGCGCAGAUAUCAGGAGGGAACACCGGUGGCGAAGGCGGGUCUCUGGGCAACAACUGACGCUGGAGGAGCGAAAGCGUGGGGAGCGAACAGG